CAGGCAGUAGCACAAGAAUUUGUAACAGAACAUGUGCUGAUUGGGUUUCAGGCCUGAGAACUAAAAUUGCUACACACUGAAUCAAAAGAGGGGGCAUCAACAUACACACUGCUUCACUACAAAAAUGUGACAUGAGGUAUCCAUGGUUCUGUUCUCUACCAAAAUCACUAUCCAUAAAGUUACAACCCAGGCAGUAGCACAAGAAUUUGUAACAGAACAUGUGCUGAUUGGGUUUCAGGCCUGAGAACUAAAAUUGCUACACACUGAAUCAAAAGAGGGGGCAUCAACAUACACACUGCUUCACUACAAAAAUGUGACAUGAGAUCUCGCUUCCAAAUUGAAGAGUGAACUCUUGACAUGUUCAAUAAUCUUCUCUGGAGAAAAAUAGCAAACAAAGAAGUUAGCACAAAUGAAG
rnacentral:lncRNA from 1 species